AGUGCAUGUGGUGGAUGCCUUGGCGAUCACAGGCGAAGAAAGACGUGGCAGCCUGCGAAAAGCUGCGGGGAGCUGGCAAACGAGCAUAGAUCCGCAGAUAUCUGAAUGGGGGAACCCACACCGUAAGGUGUAUCCGUAGCUGAAUACAUAGGUUACGGAGGCGAACGAGGAGAACUGAAACAUCUAAGUAUCCUCAGGAAAAGAAAUCAACCGAGAUUCCGGCAGUAGCGGCGAGCGAACCCGGAGCAGCCUAGUUUUUGAUAAUUUGGAUGAUAGAAGAAUGAGAUGGAAAGCUCAGCCAAAGAAGGUGAUAGCCCUGUAUUUAAAAUUGUCCGAAUGGUACUAAGAAGACGAGAAGUAAGGCGGGACACGAGGAAUCCUGUCUGAAGAUGGGGGGACCAUCCUCCAAGGCUAAAUACUAGUGAUCGACCGAUAGUGAACCAGUACCGUGAGGGAAAGGCGAAAAGAACCCCGGGAGGGGAGUGAAAUAGAACCUGAAACCGCAUGCAUACAAACAGUAGGAGCCUCGUCAGAGGUGACUGCGUACCUUUUGCAUAAUGGGUCAGCGACUUACAUUCUGUGGCGAGGUUAACCGGAUAGGGAAGCCGAAGCGAAAGCGAGUUCGAAUAGAGCGAAUAGUCGCAGGGUGUAGACCCGAAACCAGAUGAGCUAUCCAUGGCCAGGUUGAAGGUGUGGUAACACACACUGGAGGACCGAACCGACUAGUGUUGCAAAAUUAGCGGAUGAGCUGUGGAUAGGGGUGAAAGGCCAAACAAAUCUGGAGAUAGCUGGUUCUCCCCGAAAACUAUUGAGGUAGUGCCUCGUGUUGAGGCUCCAGGGGGUAGAGCACUGUUUUGGCUAGGGGGACAUGUAGUCUUACCAAACCAAGGCAAACUCCGAAUACCUGGAAGCGUGAGCACGGGAGACAGAGCACCGGGUGCUAACGUCCGGACUCAAAAGGGAAACAACCCAGACCGCCGGCUAAGGUCCCAAAUAACAGCUAAGUGGAAAACGAAGUGGAAAGGCCGUGACAACCAGGAAGUUGGCUUAGAAGCAGCCAUCCUUCAAAGAAAGCGUAAUAGCUCACUGGUCGAGUCUUUCUGCGCGGAAGAUGUAACGGGGCUAAGCUGCUAACCGAAGCCGCGGAUGCUUGGAUUACUCCAAGCGUGGUAGGGGAGCGUUCUGUAAGUCUGAGAAGGCGGAUUGAGAAGUCUGCUGGAGAUAUCAGAAGUGCGAAUGCUGACAUGAGUAACGUUAAAGAGGGUGAAAAGCCCUCUCGCCGCAAGCCCAAGGUUUCCUGCUCUACGUUCAUCGGAGCAGGGUGAGUCGGCCCCUAAGGUCAGGCCGAAAGGCGUAGCCGAUGGGAACCGGGUUAAUAUUCCCGGACCGCUGUCAGAUGCGAAGGGGUGACGGAGAGGAUAAGGUCAUCCGAGUGUUGGAAUACUCGGUACUUAGACGAGGAUGGUUGGCAGGCAAAUCCGCCGACGUAUCAUCCGGAUCGGAAGUGGUGCUCCCACGGGAGCGAAGUGAUUGGAAACUCUUCCAGGAAAAACCUCUAAGCUUCAGUCUGACAGGACCGUACCGCAAACCGACACUGGUGGGCGAGCUGAAUAUGCUCAGGCGCUUGAGAGAACUCGGGAGAAGGAACUCGGCAAAUUGACACCGUAACUUCGGAAGAAGGUGUGCCGCAGUAGCGUGAGAGGAGAAACACCUCAAGCGUGAGACGGUCUCAGAGAAUAGGUGGCUGCGACUGUUUAUUAAAAACACAGCACUCUGCAAAGUCGAAAGACGACGUAUAGGGUGUGAUGCCUGCCCGGUGCUGGAAGAUUAAUUGAUGGGGUGAGAGCCCUUGAUCGAAGUCCCAGUAAACGGCGGCCGUAACUAUAACGGUCCUAAGGUAGCGAAAUUCCUUGUCGGGUAAGUUCCGACCUGCACGAAUGGCAUAACGAUGGCCACACUGUCUCCUCCCGAGACUCAGUGAAGUUGAAAUGUUUGUGAUGAUGCAAUCUACCCGCGGCUAGACGGAAAGACCCCAUGAACCUUUACUGCAGCUUUGCAUUGAACUGUGAACCGAUUUGUGUAGGAUAGGUGGGAGACAGAGAAAGAGGAGCGCCAGCUCCUCUGGAGUCGACCUUGAAAUACCACCCUGAUUUGUUUGCGGUUCUAACCAAGACAGGUGAACACUGUUUGGGACCGUGCAUGGUAGGCAGUUUGACUGGGGCGGUCUCCUCCUAAAGGGUAACGGAGGAGUACGAAGGUACGCUAGGUACGGUCGGAAAUCGUGCUGAUAGUGCAAUGGCAAAAGCGUGCUUGACUGCGAGAGCCACAACUCGAGCAGAUGCGAAAGCAGGUCAUAGUGAUCCGGUGGCACUGAAUGGAAGGGCCAUCGCUCAACGGAUAAAAGGUACUCUGGGGAUAACAGGCUGAUACCGCCCAAGAGUUCAUAUCGACGGCGGUGUUUGGCACCUCGAUGUCGGCUCAUCUCAUCCUGGGGCUGAAGUCGGUCCCAAGGGUAUGGCUGUUCGCCAUUUAAAGAGGUACGUGAGCUGGGUUUAAAACGUCGUGAGACAGUUUGGUCCCUAUCUGCCGUGGGCGUUGGAAGAUUGACGGGGGCUGCUCCUAGUACGAGAGGACCGGAGUGGACGCACCUCUGGUGUACCGGUUGUCACGCCAGUGGCAUUGCCGGGUAGCUAAGUGCGGAAGAGAUAACCGCUGAAAGCAUCUAAGCGGGAAACUUGCCUGAAGAUGAGUCUUCCCGGAGGUUGAACCUCCCUCAAGAGUCGUCCGAGACCAGGACGUCGAUAGGUCAGGUGUGUAAGCGCUGUAAGGCGUUGAGCUAACUGAUACUAAUUGCUCGUGAGGCUUGAUC
rnacentral:rRNA from 1 species